rnacentral:rRNA from 1 species
CGAAAGCCUGACGGAGCAACGCCGCGUGAGGGAUGAAGGCCUCUGGGCUGUAAACCUCUUUUCUCAAGGAAGAAGACCUGACGGUACUUGAGGAAUAAGCCACGGCUAAUUCCGUGCCAGCAGCCGCGGUAAUACGGGAGUGGCAAGCGUUAUCCGGAAUUAUUGGGCGUAAAGCGUCCGCAGGCGGCCCUGUAAGUCUGUCGUUAAAGCGUGGAGCUUAACUCCAUUUAAGCGAUGGAAACUACAGGGCUUGAGUGUGGUAGGGGCAGAGGGAAUUCCCGGUGUAGCGGUGAAAUGCGUAGAUAUCGGGAAGAACACCAGUGGCGAAAGCGCUCUGCUGGGCCAUAACUGACGCUCAUGGACGAAAGCCAGGGGAGCGAAAG